rnacentral:rRNA from 1 species
CCCGGGCGCGGCUCUGUUGACGCGGCUGCUGGCAUCGUAUGCCGCCUUCCCCCGCUGAAGUAUUUAAACCCGAAGGCCUUCUUCAUACCGCGGCAUGGCUGCAUCAGGCUUGCGCCCAUUGUGCAAUAUUCCCCACUGCUGCCUCCCGUAGGAAGGGUUCUGUGGAAGCGAUCUCCGAC